rnacentral:tRNA from 1 species
CGGGGCGUGGCGCAGCCUGGUAGCGCGCCCGGUUCGGGACCGGGAGGUCGGAGGUUCAAGUCCUCUCGCCCCGA